rnacentral:tRNA from 1 species
GUCAAUAUAGUUUAAUAAAACAUUAUGUUGUGGACCUAAAAAUAGAAGUUAAACCCUUCUUUUUGACC